rnacentral:rRNA from 1 species
GACGAACGCUGGCGGCGUGCCUAAUACAUGCAAGUAGAACGCUGAAGGAGGAGCUUGCUUCUCUGAAUGAGUUGCGAACGGGUGAGUAACGCGUAGGUAACCUGCCUGGUAGCGGGGGAUAACUAUUGGAAACGAUAGCUAAUACCGCAUAAUAGUAGAUGUUGCAUGACAUUUGCUUAAAAGGUGCAAUUGCAUCACUACCAGAUGGACCUGCGUUGUAUUAGCUAGUUGGUGGGGUAACGGCUCACCAAGGCGACGAUACAUAGCCGACCUGAGCGGGUGAUCGGCCACACUGGGACUGAGACACGGCCCAGACUCCUACGGGAGGCAGCAGUAGGGAAUCUUCGGCAAUGGACGGAAGUCUGACCGAGCAACGCCGCGUGAGUGAAGAAGGUUUUCGGAUCGUAAAGCUCUGUUGUAAGAGAAGAACGAGUGUGAGAGUGGAAAGUUCACACUGUGACGGUAUCUUACCAGAAAGGGACGGCUAACUACGUG